rnacentral:rRNA from 1 species
GACGAACGCUGGCGGCGUGCUUAACACAUGCAAGUCGAACGGAAAGGCCCUGCUUUUGUGGGGUGCUCGAGUGGCGAACGGGUGAGUAACACGUGAGUAACCUGCCCUGGACUUUGGGAUAACUUCAGGAAACUGGGGCUAAUACCGGAUAGGAGCUCCUGCUGCAUGGUGGGGGUUGGAAAGUUUGGGCGGUUGGGGAUGGACUCGCGGCUUAUCAGCGUGUUGGUUGGGUAGUGGCUUACCAAGGCUUUGACGGGUAGCCGGCCUGAGAGGGUGACCGGCCACAUUGGGACUGGGGUACGGCCCAGACUCCUCCGGGGGGCAGCAGUGGGGAAUAUUGCACCAUGGGCGGAAGCCUGAUGCAGCCACGCCGCGUGCGGGAUGACGGCCUUCGGGUUGUAGACCGCUUUCGCCUGUGACGAAGCGUGAGUGACGGUAAUGGGUAAAGAAGCACCGGCUAACUCCGUG